rnacentral:lncRNA from 1 species
CAAAAGGAAAAUUCUCACCCUGAAGGCUUUUUGAGAAUUGUUGAUGUUAGCUUCUUCUCCCCAUGACUUUAGCCAUGUGAAAAUAAAUACUUCUGUGGGAUAGAGAUGAAUCUGGGGAAUCAGUUGUGAAAUCAACUUGAGAGGCAGAGGAGUUGAGAGCAAGUAUACAUUGAAAAACUGUAAGGCUGGACCAGAUGCCACGAGAUCAGAGAUGAGAAAUCAGGAGGGUCAGAGAUAAGAAAGGCUUGGAGAUGACCACAGAAAGCAGAAAGACUUGCUGCCAAACCCCGACUUCUCACCAAUUGUACUGAUGAAGCAAUGAAAAUCACCAUCUCUUCCACCUAUAGAAUGCAUAGUAUAUUUAUGGACACAUAGUGUAUGACGUGUAUAGAAAAAUAUCAUUCAGUCCUUGAAAUCAACAUGCAAGGAUGUCCCUCCCCAGGGAACAGUCAGCACCAUUCUGACUUCCCCGCUGGAGCCGCACCGCCUGCUGGGUAAUCAGCUCUGCGCUCUGCAAGGGGAGACCUCGGCGGGGUGAACCCGGUGCCCCUUGCCAGAGCCAAGGAAAAGGAGAACAUCAAGCUUUGCGGGGGUAGAAAUGUUUUAAGUGAUCACCUACAUUCAGUUUGAAGGAUAAUUUGCAGAUGCCUAUAUUGGCUCAAUUAUGAGCAGCACUUACUACUUUUUAAGUACUAGAAAGCUUUAACUUAAGUUAAUCUUCAUCAUACCUAUCAAAUAUUUCUCCCCAAUUACUUCCAUUGAGUCAGGAACAAAAUUCAUUUUGUAAUGAUUAUCUGACUCAGGUAGAGCUGAUUUUCUAUAACUCUAGGCUAAAGCCACUGACAAGGGCACAAAAAGGAUUAUUUUUCAGCAGUUUUCAGCCCAGCUAAAUCAGCAGAUAAUGGCAUCUAUGAUGCAGAGUGAUUCUGACCUAAAACCCCUCUCAUCGUUAAUGUGUCUCACAUCUCAAAUACGCCACAGAGGCAAAAAUAUUCUAUAGACAUCUCUACUGUCCCUAGAGAGCAAAAGGACAGGUUUAGGAAUUCUUGAUUUUUACGUUUUCUGUCAAUUAUGCAACAGCAAUUGCUCAAUAAAAAAAACCCAGAACUCUGUUUCUUUCUUCAUAGUAUUUUCAUCUGAAAGAGCACCAGAUGAAUACGGAGACAGUGGAUUUAUUUGCAUGACUUUGUUGUGUCAGGUCCUAGUGGUCUAUAGGGGCCCAAAUAAAUAAAGACACCAAACAAAAUUUCUGAAUGCUGUAGCAUGGGAAAUAGAGACUGUCAUUGACAUAUAUUAGAGAUUAUUCAGAGAUAAGCGGAUGCCUGUUUCAAUGUGAAACAAGAGAGUAGAUUAGGC